GCCUGGGUGGCUCAGUCGGUUAAGCGUUUGACUUCAGCUCAGGUCAUGAUCUCGUGGUUCGUGGGUUCGAGCCCCACGUUGGGCU
rfam:Felis catus isolate Cinnamon breed Abyssinian chromosome B2, whole genome shotgun sequence.